AACGUGUCGCGAUGGAUGACUUGGCUUCCUAUUUCGUUGAAGAACGCAGUAAAGUGCGAUAAGUGGUAUCAAGGUGGCUGUCGGUGA
rnacentral:rRNA from 1 species